rnacentral:rRNA from 1 species
GAGUUUGAUCAUGGCUCAGGACGAACGCUGGCGGCGUGCCUAAUACAUGCAAGUCGAACGCUUUUUUCAAUCAUCGUAGCUUGCUACACCGAUUGAAAAUUGAGUGGCGAACGGGUGAGUAACACGUGGGUAACCUGCCCAAAAGAGGGGGAUAACACUUGGAAACAGGUGCUAAUACCGCAUAACCAUGAUGACCGCAUGGUCAUUAUGUAAAAGAUGGUUUCGGCUAUCACUUCUGGAUGGACCCCGCGGCGUAUUAACUUGUUGGUGGGGUAACGGCCUACCAAGGUGAUGAUACGUAGCCGAACUGAGAGGUUGAUCGGCCACAUUGGGACUGAGACACGGGCCCAAACUCCUACGGGAGGCAGCAGUGGGGAAUAUUGCACAAUGGGGGAAACCCUGAUGCAGCAACGCCGCGUGAGUGAUGACGGCCUUCGGG